rnacentral:misc_RNA from 1 species
AGGAAGUAAAAGUCGUAACAAGGUCUCCGUUGGUGAACCAGCGGAGGGAUCAUUACCGAGUUAACAAACUCCCAAACCUUUGUGAACAUACCACUGUUGCUUCGGCGGGUUCGUCCCGGGCGCGCCCUCACAGGCGUGACCCGGACCCAGGCGCCCGCCGGAGGACCCCAACUCUUGUUUUUAUAGUGUCUCUUCUGAGUGGCAUAAGCAAAUAAUUAAAACUUUCAGCAACGGAUCUCUUGGUUCUGGCAUCGAUGAAGAACGCAGCGAAAUGCGAUAAGUAAUGUGAAUUGCAGAAUUCAGUGAAUCAUCGAAUCUUUGAACGCACAUUGCGCCCGCUAGUAUUCUGGCGGGCAUGCCUGUCUGAGCGUCAUUUCAACCCUCAGCGCCCGUCCGCGGGAGCUGGUGUUGGGGAUCGGCCGUCCUUCGCGGCGGCCGGCCCCGAAAUCUAGUGGCGGUCUCCUCGCGAGCUGCUCUGCGUAUUAACAGGGGGGGGCUCUUGGA